rnacentral:rRNA from 1 species
CCUACGGGGGGCAGCAGUGGGGAAUAUUGGACAAUUGGGGGAACCCUGAUCCAGCCAUGCCGCGUGUGUGAAGAAGGCCCUCGGGUUGUAAAGCACUUUCAGUGAGGAAGAACGCCUGGUGGUUAAUACCCAUCAGGAAAGACAUCACUCACAGAAGAAGCACCGGCUAACUCCGUGCCAGCAGCCGCGGUAAUACGGAGGGUGCGAGCGUUAAUCGGAAUUACUGGGCGUAAAGCGCGCGUAGGUGGCUUGAUAAGCCGGUUGUGAAAGCCCCGGGCUCAACCUGGGAACGGCAUCCGGAACCGUCAAGCUAGAGUGCAGGAGAGGAAGGUAGAAUUCCCGGUGUAGCGGUGAAAUGCGUAGAGAUCGGGAGGAAUACCAGUGGCGAAGGCGGCCUUCUGGACUGACACUGACACUGAGGUGCGAAAGCGUGGGUAGCAAACAGGAUUAGAUACCCGAGUAGUC